UAGCUUAGUUGGUAGUGCGUCUGCCUUGUAAGCGCUAGGUCGCGGGUUCGAUUCCCGC
rfam:Asian citrus Psyllid, Diaphorina citri - Florida Strain, whole genome shotgun sequence.